rnacentral:lncRNA from 1 species
GUAGGCUAAUACAUUUUUACUGUUAAAUUACAUGUUACUAUAAAGCCCACAAUAGAACUGCAAAAGCAGUCCAUUACCUUUCCUACAGUAAAUAAGUCUAUAAUACACACUUUAGUUGUUAGAAUCUUAAUAUCGCAGACAGAACUGGUGUUACAGAAAGUUUUAGGAGGGCAUGUCAUUUUUUAUAUUGUUUUCCCCGUUGCCCCUCCUCUCGACAGUAAGGCCUGCUCCCCUCCCUCUCCCAAUAGUUGAAGAUGCCUUGCCCAGUUGAAAAUCACUCCGAUAAUUGCCUCAAAAGUGUACCUAACCUAUACCGGAACAAAUUUCACACAUAUAAUAACAGAUGAAAUAAACAAAGUAGGCUAAAGUAUGAUGGGAGAAUGGAUGAGUUGAUGCGCGAGGAGAAGCGAACAAUGCAUAAUUACGUAAUCACUAUUCUAAUUAUAAUCUCAAAAUGUUAUGUACUCUAUCAGUCUACUCUGGCCUACUUGGAGUACAGUGAGAGCGUGUGUAAUUUACAAUAGUAAGAAGACCAAGACGAAUGGAUGCACUCGUUAGCGUUGCUACAAAGUCUGAAAGAAAACAACUCCAAUGGUGGGGAAGAAAUGAAUCAUGAUUACUUCUCUGAUGAGUAUUCUUCUGAUUCUGAGCCUCAACCUGAACCUAUACCUCUGAGGCCUAAGUGCAUAAAAGCCAGAACUGUGUGCACUGAGCAGGUGCUCACACCACCGUCAAAUGAAACGGAGGUCCCGGAUCCAACGGAAUCGUUCUGGCGCCGGCCCUGGUAGCUUGUUUAGGUGUGUACUGUAGUAAAAUGUUGGCUAAUCGCUGACUACUUUGUGUCCUACAGACUAAUCCUGCUGCUGAUGACGAGGAUGAUGAUGAUGAUGACCUUGACACCAGAUGUAGUAGCACUAGCGGUUCUGGGGGGGGGGGGCAGUGCCCCUGUGACAACAAUUUUGGACCCCCUUGUGGCCCCUCUAAAUGUGGAGAGACCUGCAGUGCAUAAAUCUUCUGCAAGAGGUCGAAGAAGUGGGUUGUGAAGAACAUCGCCAUAGCACAAAAGCCUGCUAAACCAGCUGCUACUACCCAACACAAGAGAAUCACCUGCUGAAGAACAUUCAACCAAGACUACAUCCACAUUCAAUUGAACUGAUGUUGUAGUAUUAUAUACAGUAGAAUAGCUAAUAUGGUCACAACUGUAUUGUCG